AAAGCCCUGCAGCUUCGGGACAUCUGUGUUCUGCUUCCAUAGGUUGCCUUACAUAAGGGCAGGUGUUCUGCCCCCCCCUUCCCAUCCUCCACCCCACCCCCGUGUUCCCAUGCCUUACAGUUUUUCUAAAUGGUGAAACAAAAAUCCCAAAAAGGAAUGUAUAAAGCCUCCUCGUGUGUGAGAGAUGCAAUGAUGUUCUCCCCAAAUGUAACAGUGUUCCAAACAGUACGAGACACAAGAGGACCACACCUGGCUGGCUUCCUUACUGGGACUCUUGUCCAAAUAUCAGAAAUAGAGGAUACAAGCAAUUUGAGAGAAAAGUUCAAAUAUAUUGAUAUUUGUCAAUUGGUUUCAUUCCCACAUUCCUUUAAAAAGUGUUCGUGGGGUGUUGGAAAUGCCUGCCAUCAAGAAUGUUGUGUGGCGGGGGUCCUGAUCCCUCUGAGACCCAGAUCGACUAGACCACCUAACCUGAGCUUCCUUGUCCACCUUGCUAAGCAGCUGACAUUCCUCCACGUGGGAACCACACUGCUCCCUCUUUAGUGUAAGACAGUGAAAAGCCUUACCACAGACGACAGAUAGGUGAAUCUAGAAACUGGCUCAUUGAUGAUAAUUCAGACUAUUUCAGAAGGAGCCCAGCUUCUCCAUGUUAUGAAAUAAAGUAAUUUUAAGGUUACAGAUGGGUCCUUCCCUCAGAGACACAUAUCAAAAUUAAAGAUAGAGAAAAGGAUAUUAUAUGCCAGUAUUUAAAACACAGAGUUUUGAAUCUGGCUUGUAAAUUGUGUUGAGCACAGAUCUUAAAGGUCAGUGUUGUGCACUUUGAGACAGAAGGGUUACUUUGUUUUCAAAACCUCUUAGUGGAGGUGGUCCACUCAGUGACGUGUUCUCUUUUCUUAGGGUACUUAACACUGCUAUAAAGAACACAUAGGAUUCAACACCGAAAAAAAAAAAAAACCAAACAACCAGGUUAAAAAAUGGGCAGAGGACCUGAGCAUUUUUCCAGAGAAGAAAUACAGAUGGCCAACAGGCACACAAAAAGGUGCUCCACAUCGCUAAUCAUCAGGGAAACACAGAUCAAAACAUAAUGAGACAUCACCUCAUCCCAGUCAGAAUGGCCACAAUCCAAAAGACAAGAAAUAAGAAGUGUUGGUGAGGAUGUGGAGAAAAGGGAGCCCUCCUACACUGGUGGUGGGAAUGUAAAUUGGUGCAGCCACUGUGGAAAGCAGUGUUGGAGGUUCUCAACAAACUAAAACUAGAAAUACCGUACAACCCAGUAAUUCUGCUUCUAGGAGUUUAUCUGAAGAAGACAAAAAUCCCUGUUUCGGAAAGAUAUAUGCACCCCUAUGUUUAUUGCUGCACUAUUUACAAUAGACAAGAUAGGGGAACAAUCAAAGUAUCUAUCAGUAGAUGAACGGAUAAAGAACAUGUGGUGGAGAUAUACAACAGAAUAUUAUUCAGCCAUAUAAAAGAAAUUCUGCCAUCUGCUAUUUGUUCCAACAUAGAUGGACCUAGAGAGUAUUAUGCUGAAUGAAAUAAGCCAGGUAGAAAAAGACAGAUACCAUAUGAUUUCACUUUUUUGUGGAAUUUAAAAACAAAACAAAAUGAACAAAAUAGAUUCACAGACACUGAGAAGUGACUUGUGGUUACCAUGGGAGAGGGGGGUAAAGGAGCCCCAAAAUUCUCAACCAUAGCGUAAGCUGGUCACGGGGUUGGUAGUACAGCACAGAGAAUAUAGUCAGUGGUUCUGGAGCGUCUUCCUGUAUUGGCAGACAGUGACUGCACCAGAAGGACCUGUCUCUCUGAUUUUGUCUACUUUAGAUACUUCGUAGGUGUGAAUCCUACUGUACAAUGGCCUGUUGUGUGACUGACUUAUUUCACCUAACAUAGUACCCUGGAUGUUCUGAGAUGCUUUCUGAUCCUAGCUAACUGCAGUUUGCUUGUCAGAGGCUAACACAGCAGCUCUGGUGGGUGUUCAGUGCUGCGGCAUGACUAUGCCACAUGAAACCAUUGCCAGCCCCAGUUAACAAACAGCCCUCGGGGGGAGUGGGGUGGGUGGUCAGGAAAGUAGUUCUCUUCACUCUUGACAGUGGUUAUGGAUUAUGGGUUUAAGAAGAACUAAACCAGAAUAACAUAUACUUCUAUGUGAAAACAGCUCUCAACCUUGACUUCUAGUCUUUGAUCGGUCACCAAAUAAUACUUGGUCUUAUAUUGGGAACUCUGUCAUUCCCAAAUAUAUGUAUAAUUAGCUUGGUGAUUUGUGUAGGAAUUGCAGGGUUGAACAUAGGAGAAAAGAGGCAUGGUUGAAAGAACUUGGGUUGAAAGAACAUGAUUCAGACUUGGAUCAAGAACUGGCAGAGGCCAAAACCCUCCAGUUUCCUUCCUCCUGACCUUCUUUACAAAGGUCACUGUGGAACAUGGUGUAGUCAUCAAAGAUUAGGAGAAGUUCUAACUGGUCAUGGCACCCAGGACAGGAACGCCUGCUCUCAGGGUCAAAGAUGCCAAGGUUGUCCUUGUCCUGGUCAAGCCCGUCUAUAGCAACUUUUCAAGGUGCCUGGUUCCUGCAGAGAUGUGCCUGGCUCUCCCCGCCUUUGCUUGGAGACAAAUGCCCUGAUGAAGACCUUCUCAGAGAGGCCUUCUCUGUCUGGAAGAGCCAUUGCCUUGACAUUGUAUCACAUUGUAUCAUGUAUGGCUUUUUUGUCUCUCUCCUCACCAAGUCUCUGAGAAUGGGGGCUUGUCAUUGCUGUGUCCUUCGCACCUAGGAGCAGAGCCUGCCCUGUGGAGGCAUGCAAACACUGAAUGGUUGAAUGGAACUCCGUCCGUAAUCAGCAUGAAGCCAAUAAGUCACUGGUGUUAUGAGGAAUAUGUGCCAUGUCGAGUUUUGUAGAUCUGAACUUGCCAAGGGUGCAUGCUGUGACUUGAGAUGAUCAUCGUGUGACUUUUUAAUAAAGGAGUUGCAAGUAUUAAAGUACAAGUGUCAGAAGAAAAAGCCACAUAUCAGAAGAGGCAUGGUGGGAUGUCACUGUGUUACUUCUAUCCUGACAGUAUAUAAACCACCUUACACUGUAGGAUCAGAGUGAAACAACAUUGAAGAAAAUGAAAGAGAAGCUUGUUCAAAGGAAUUAUUUCACUUGAUAAACUCCAAAAACAUA